GGGGCGGAGCAAGCGUUGUUCGGAUUUACUGGGCGUAAAGGGCGCGUAGGCGGUCAGCACAAGUCAGUUGUGAAAUCUCCGGGCUUAACCCGGAAAGGUCAACUGAUACUGUGCGACUAGAGUGCGGAAGGGGCAACUGGAAUUCUUGGUGUAGCGGUGAAAUGCGUAGAUAUCAAGAGGAACACCUGCGGCGAAGGCGGGUUGCUGGGCCGACACUGACGCUGAAGCGCGAAAGCCAGGGGAGCGAACGGGAUUAGAUACCCCGGUAGUCCUGGCCUUAAACGAUGAAUGCUUGGUGUCUGGGGUUAUAAAGUCCCCGGGUGCCGUCGCCAACGCUUUAAGCAUUCCGCCUGGGGAGUACGGUCGCAAGACUG
rnacentral:rRNA from 1 species